rnacentral:rRNA from 1 species
CCUACGGGUGGCAGCAUUGGGGAAUAUUGCACAAUGGGCGACAGCCUGAUGCAGCAACGCCGCGUGAGCGAUGAAGGCCAUCGGGUCGUACCGCUCUGUCCUCAAGGAAGAUAAUGACGGUCCUUGAGGAGGAAGCCCCGGCUAACUACGUUCCAGCAGCCGCGGUAAUACGUAGGGGGCUAGCGUUAGCCGGAAUUACUGGGCGUAAAGGGUGCGUAGGUGGUUUCUUAAGUCAGAGGUGAAAGGCUACGGCUCAACCGUAGUAAGCCUGUGAAACUGGGGAAUUUGAGGGCAGGAGAGGAGAGUGGAAUUCAUAGGGGAGCGGUGAAAUGCGUAGAUAUUAGGAGGAACACCAGGGGCGAAGGCGGCUCUCUGGACUGUAACUGACACUGAGGCACGAAAGCGUGGGGAGCAAACAGGAUUAGAUACCCCAGUAGUC